rnacentral:lncRNA from 1 species
CACCGCCAUGUGGGGCCGUGGAGAAGCUGCAGGCCCAUUUUCCAUGAGUCAGAAGGGAAGCUGGGUUGUGUUCCUGAACUUUCUUGUAGAGUUUCCCUCUGGAUGCUGCUAGCACUAACAGCCAGAAUCCUGGUAGCCACAUUUGUGGAUGUGGAAAGACACCCACAGUCUGUUGUGCUGUGACAAAAGCUGGCUGGAGGACUGCACGUUGACGACGAGCCUAUCUGUGCAGAGCUGGGCACGUGUGCAUGUCUCUUUGCCUUUGGUCAUUGGUUUUCCCACUUUCGUCCAUUCUUUGGCCUAUCACUUAAACAACAACGACAGCAAAACCCAGAUGUCAACGGGAAUGAAAUACAAAGCGGUUUCACGGGUGGAGAAAAAGAAGAAUCCACUGGAUUCUUUCCCCUGCCGUAGAUCGUGUGUGGAUGAGGACCUGAGUGCAGGCCAGCACUGACUUCCUUGUUCUUACUGGAUACACUCACUGAGCAGCCUGCAGAUGUGCGGUUGGCUCCUGAGCUCAACCCUGACCAUAGAGAAAUAGCACCAGCCACCCCUGCCUCCGCCAUCUGGAAGGAGCUCCGCGAGUGUCCAUCUUUGCUUCGAUUUCUGUGAGCUCCAGUUUUCCUACCUGUAAGACACGCCUGUGUACAUGUAUCGCUCCAGUCAAUAUUUGUUCAGUGCUGCUAUGGCUCAGGCACUGGGUUAGUUUCUGGGAACGUAAGACUGACCUAUUUCCUGCCCUUGGGAGUCUUCACACCUCAUUGCAUGAAAAAUUACGCGCACGAAAGUGCUUUUAAAAUCCUAACACUGCUGGGGCGCCUGGGUGGCGCAGUCGGUUAAGCGUCCGACUUCAGCCAGGUCACGAUCUCGCGGUCCGUGAGUUCGAGCCCCGCGUCGGGCUCUGGGCUGAUGGCUCGGAGCCUGGAGCCUGUUUCCGAUUCUGUGUCUCCCUCUCGCUCUGCCCCUCCCCCGUUCAUGCUCUGUCUCUCUCUGUCCCAAAAAUAAAUAAACGUUGAAAAAAAAAAAAAAAAAAAAA